CACGUAGGGCGCAAGCGUUGUCCGGAAUUAUUGGGCGUAAAGAGCUCGUAGGUGGUUUGCUGCGUCCGCUGUGAAAACCCAAGGCUUAACCUUGGGCUUGCAGUGGAUACGGGCAGACUAGAGGUAGGUAGGGGAGAAUGGAAUUCCCGGUGUAGCGGUGAAAUGCGCAGAUAUCGGGAGGAACACCGGUGGCGAAGGCGGUUCUCUGGGCCUUACCUGACACUGAGGAGCGAAGGCGUGGGGAGCGAACAGG
rnacentral:rRNA from 1 species